GAUGAACGCUAGCUACAGGCUUAACACAUGCAAGUCGAGGGGAAACGAUAUUGGAAGCUUGCUUCCGAUAGGCGUCGACCGGCGCACGGGUGAGUAACGCGUAUCCAACCUGCCCACCACUUGGGGAUAACCUUGCGAAAGUAAGACUAAUACCCAAUGACGUCUCUAGAAGACAUCUGAAAGAGAUUAAAGAUUUAUCGGUGAUGGAUGGGGAUGCGUCUGAUUAGCUUGUUGGCGGGGUAACGGCCCACCAAGGCAACGAUCAGUAGGGGUUCUGAGAGGAAGGUCCCCCCACAUUGGAACUGAGACACGGUCCAAACUCCUACGGGAGGCAGCAGUGAGGAAUAUUGGUCAAUGGGCGAGAGCCUGAACCAGCCAAGUAGCGUGCAGGACGACGGCCCUAUGGGUUGUAAACUGCUUUUAUGCGGGGAUAAAGUGAGGGAUGCAUCCCUUUUUGCAGGUACCGCAUGAAUAAGGACCGGCUAAUUCCGUG
rnacentral:rRNA from 1 species